GUCCACGCUGUAAACGAUGAGUGCUAGUUGUUGGGAAGUUUACUUCUCAGUGACGAAGCUAACGCGAUAAGCACUCCGCCUGGGGAGUACGGCCGCAAGGUUAAAACUCAAAGGAAUUGACGGGGCCGCACAAGCGGUGGAGCAUGUGGUUUAAUUCGACGCAACGCGAAGAACCUUACCAACCCUUGACAUGUGUAUCGCGGAGACCAGAGACGGUUUCCUUCAGUUCGGCUGGAUACAACACAGGUGCUGCAUGGCUGUCGU
rnacentral:rRNA from 1 species